GACGAACGCUGGCGGCGUGCUUAACACAUGCAAGUCGAACGGUAAGGCCCUUCGGGGUACACGAGUGGCGAACGGGUGAGUAACACGUGGGUGAUCUGCCCUGCACUUCGGGAUAAGCCUGGGAAACUGGGUCUAAUACCGGAUAGGACCCUGGGAUGCAUGUCCUGGGGUGGAAAGCUUUUGCGGUGUGGGAUGGGCCCGCGGCCUAUCAGCUUGUUGGUGGGGUGAUGGCCUACCAAGGCGACGACGGGUAGCCGGCCUGAGAGGGUGACCGGCCACACUGGGACUGAGAUACGGCCCAGACUCCUACGGGAGGCAGCAGUGGGGAAUAUUGCACAAUGGGCGCAAGCCUGAUGCAGCGACGCCGCGUGAGGGGUGACGGCCUUCGGGUUGUAAACCUCUUUCAGCGCCGACGAAGCGCAAGUGACGGUAGGUGCAGAAGAAGGACCGGCCAACUACGUGCCAGCCGCCGCAGUAA
rnacentral:rRNA from 1 species